AUUGAACGCUGGCGGCAGGCCUAACACAUGCAAGUCGAACGGUAACAGGAAGAAGCUUGCUUCUUUGCUGACGAGUGGCGGACGGGUGAGUAAUGUCUGGGAAACUGCCUGAUGGAGGGGGAUAACUACUGGAAACGGUAGCUAAUACCGCAUAACGUCGCAAGACCAAAGAGGGGGACCUUCGGGCCUCUUGCCAUCGGAUGUGCCCAGAUGGGAUUAGCUAGUAGGUGGGGUAACGGCUCACCUAGGCGACGAUCCCUAGCUGGUCUGAGAGGAUGACCAGCCACACUGGAACUGAGACACGGUCCAGACUCCUACGGGAGGCAGCAGUGGGGAAUAUUGCACAAUGGGCGCAAGCCUGAUGCAGCCAUGCCGCGUGUAUGAAGAAGGCCUUCGGGUUGUAAAGUACUUUCAGCGGGGAGGAAGGGAGUAAAGUUAAUACCUUUGCUCAUUGACGUGACCCGCAGAAGAAGCACCGGCUAACUCCGU
rnacentral:rRNA from 1 species